rnacentral:lncRNA from 1 species
UAAAAACAUAAAGGUUUAUUCCACUCACCUCUGGAUAGCUCUGACCAGACACUGGGGCAACAGACUCACUGCUGGGGUCCUCGGUUCCUCGGGUUCGAACCUACACAGGUGGACUCAAAUGAGGGACCAACAUACAAGAACAUAACUCUAAACUAUUCCCCAAAAACCCCCCAAAACAUCAUGAAAUAAUCAUAGAAAAACAUGCAAGAAAGGGCUGGACAGGGCACUUUCGGCGGCAGGUUCGGCGGCCGAAAGUCCCUCCAGAGCCGAAAGUCAGGC